rnacentral:rRNA from 1 species
CCUACGGGAGGCAGCAGUGGGGAAUUUUGGACAAUGGGCGCAAGCCUGAUCCAGCAAUGCCGCGUGAGUGAAGAAGGCCUUCGGGUUGUAAAGCUCUUUUGUCAGGGAAGAAACGGUGGGAGCUAAUAUCUCCUGCUAAUGACGGUACCUGAAGAAUAAGCACCGGCUAACUACGUGCCAGCAGCCGCGGUAAUACGUAGGGUGCAAGCGUUAAUCGGAAUUACUGGGCGUAAAGCGUGCGCAGGCGGUUUUGUAAGACUGUCGUGAAAUCCCCGGGCUCAACCUGGGAAUGGCGAUGGUGACUGCAAGGCUAGAGUUUGGCAGAGGGGGGUAGAAUUCCACGUGUAGCAGUGAAAUGCGUAGAUAUGUGGAGGAACACCGAUGGCGAAGGCAGCCCCCUGGGUCAAAACUGACGCUCAUGCACGAAAGCGUGGGGAGCAAACAGGAUUAGAUACCCUGGUAGUCCACGCCCUAAACGAUGUCUACUAGUUGUCGGGUCUUAAUUGACUUGGUAACGCAGCUAACGCGUGAAGUAGACCGCCUGGGGAGUACGGUCGCAAGAUUAAAACNCAAAUGAAAUUGACGG